GACGUAGGUGGCGAACGUUAUCCGGAAUUAUUGGGCGUAAAGGGUGCGUAGGUGGUCUGAUAAGUUAUCAGUGGCAAAUCGAGGCUCAACCUCGUGGAAACUGGUAAUACUGUCCGGCUUGAGUGCAGGAGAGGUUAACGGAACUCUAUGUGGAGCGGUAAAAUGCACAGAUAUAUAGAAGAACAUCAAUAACGGCGAAGGCAGUUAACUAUUCUGUUACUGACACUGAGGCACGAAAGCGUGGGGAGCAAAACGG
rnacentral:rRNA from 1 species